rnacentral:rRNA from 1 species
UACAGAGGUCUCGAGCGUUAGGCGGAAUCACUGGGCUUAAAGCGUGUGUAGGUGGAUGCCUAAGUACCUUGUGAAAUCCCACAGCUUAACUGUGGAACUGCUUGGUAUACUGGGUGUCUUGAGUCACUCAGGGGCGAGCGGAACAAAUGGUGGAGCGGUGAAAUGCGUAGAUAUCAUUUGGAACGCCAAUGGUGAAAACAGCUCGCUGGGGGUGUACUGACACUGAGACACGAAAGCCAGGGAAGCGAACGGG